UACGAAGGGGGCUAGCGUUGCUCGGAAUUACUGGGCGUAAAGCGCACGUAGGCGGCUUGGCAAGUCGGGUGUGAAAACUCCAGGCUCAACCUGGAGACGCCACUCGAGACUGCUAUGGCUAGAGUCCGGUAGGGGACCACGGAAUUCCUGGUGUAGCGGUGAAAUGCGCAGAUAUCAGGAGGAACACCGGUGGCGAAGGCGGUGGUCUGGGCCGGCACUGACGCUGAGGAGCGAAAGCGUGGGGAGCAAACAGG
rnacentral:rRNA from 1 species